rnacentral:rRNA from 1 species
CCUACGGGAGGCAGCAGUGAGGAAUAUUGGUCAAUGGCCGGAAGGCUGAACCAGCCAUGCCGCGUGAAGGUCAGUGCCCUAUGGGCGUUACACUUCUUUUGUGCGGGAGCAAUAAUGGUCACGUGUGGCCAGACGAGAGUACCGUACGAAUAAGCCUCGGCUAACUCCGUGCCAGCAGCCGCGGUAAUACGGGGGAUGCAAGCGUGAUCCGGAUUUAUUGGGUGUAAAGGGUGCGUAGGCUGUGAGGUACGUCAGCGGUGAAAUGCCCCCGCUCAACGGGGUGAAGUGCCAUUGAUACUGCCGUGCUGGAAUGCGGAUGCCGUGGGAGGAAGGUGUGGUGUAGCGGUGAAAUGCAUAGAUAUCACACAGAACACCGAUUGCGAAGGCAUCUCACGAAUCCGCGAUUGACGCUGAUGCACGAAAGCGUGGGUAUCAAACAGGAGUAGAUACCCCAGUAGUC